rnacentral:rRNA from 1 species
CUCCUUUGACGUUAGCGGCGGACGGGUGAGUAACACGUGGGUAACCUACCUAUAAGACUGGGAUAACUUCGGGAAACCGGAGCUAAUACCGGAUAAUAUUUCGAACCGCAUGGUUCGAUAGUGAAAGGUGGUUUUGCUAUCACUUAUAGAUGGACCCGCGCCGUAUUAGCUAGUUGGUAAGGUAACGGUUUACCAAGGCGACGAUACGUAGCCGACCUGAGAGGGUGAUCGGCCACACUGGAACUGAGACACGGUCCAGACUCCUACGGGAGGCAGCAGCC